rnacentral:rRNA from 1 species
AUUGAACGCUGGCGGCAUGCCUAACACAUGCAAGUCGAACGGUAACGGGCCUUCGGGUGCCGACGAGUGGCGGACGGGUGAGUAAAGCGUAGGGAUCUGCCUAGUAGAGCGGGACAACUUGGGGAAACUCAAGCUAAUACCGCGUAAGACCUAAGGGUGAAAGCAUGGGACCGCAAGGCCAUGCGCUAUUAGAUGAACCUACGUCAGAUUAGCUAGUUGGUGGGGUAAAGGCCUACCAAGGCGAUGAUCUGUAGCUGUUCUGAGAGGAAGAUCAGCCACACUGGGACUGAGACACGGACCAGACUCCUACGGGAGGCAGCAGUGGGGAAUAUUGGACAAUGGGGGGAACCCUGAUCCAGCCAUGCCGCGUGUGUGAAGAAGGCCUUAUGGUUGUAAAGCACUUUAAGCGAGGAGGAGGCUCUUUUGGUUAAUACCCAAGAUGAGUGGACGUUACUCGCAGAAUAAGCACCGGCUAACUCUGUGCCAGCAGCCGCGGUAACAC